UCCGCAGGAGGUUCGUUAAAAUUGGGGUGAAAUCCCGGAGCUCAACUCCGGAACUGCCCCGAUGACUGACGGACUAGAGUGCUGGAGGGGUAAGCGGAAUUUCAGGUGUAGCGGUGGAAUGCGUAGAUAUCUGAAAGAACACCGAUGGCGAAGGCAGCUUACUGGACAGCAACUGACUCUCAGGGACGAAAGCGUGAGGAGCAAACA
rnacentral:rRNA from 1 species